rnacentral:lncRNA from 1 species
AUGCUAAGGGAUUGCAGGAGACAGGCAAGCGGGCGGCGCAAUCAGCAGCAGUCCAGGGAAAAACAGUUCGAGUCCCCCCAGAGGGAUCAGGGGUCCAUCGCGCCGCCACCUCCCCUCUGUCUCUUUCCGGCAACGAGGGCGACCCCAGGCCCCGGGAGGAGGGGAGGACGGGGCAGAGUCCGCCAAGGCCACAGGCCUCCUGUUUGCCUGCCUGUCUGUCUGUCUCCUCCUGGGGCGGCCGCCUGGCCGAGCUCGGCUCCCGGCGACUGCAGCUUUCUUCCCGAUCGGCGUCAGCUCCCGGGCCCGGGCCCCCGCCCCGGCCCCCUUCCCCCCUCCUCCUCCUCCCCGUACACGGAGUCCCGCUGGGAGGAGACACGAGCACCCCGCAAACCUAGGAUCUCGGGCUCCAAAAUCGACGAUGGCGACGUCUCCUUCUUCAGCCGGUUAGCCCUUCAGCAGCGACAAGUCCGGCCAGUCACUAUGGCGGCCGCGGCUCUACUCAGCCAGAGCGCCCCAGUGCGGGGUCUCUUAAGCAGGGGCUGCACGGGCUCCGCGCGGAAGGCGGGGACACGGAAAGGGGGCGGAGCCUCGUCGCGUCACAAAGCUCGCUGUCCCCUGCCACGUGACCCGGCGCAUUAUGACAACCUAGGGCAGAACCUGUUUGGAAAAAGGAAGCGACCAUAUGACUUGGAGUGGGGUGGGAAAGCGGGAAAGGGGAGUGGCUCAUUGGAGGAGAAGAGGGGUGAGGUGGGGAGAAGUGAAAGAAAGAGACAUUCAUUGGUGAACAGAAACAAAACCGAAGGGGCUUCUAGUGGCCACCUCACUCAGAAACGACUGACCGCAUUUACGGUUGCGCAACCAACCAACAAACGUUCAGUGGUUCCCGACUCUUACUCACAUCACGGCCCAUACUGUCCGUGAGGUUUUCUUGGUAAAGAUAUUGGAGUGGUUUGCUAUUUCCUUCUACCGUGGAUUAAAGCAAAAAGAGGCUAAAUGACUAGUCCAGAGUCACACAGUGAGUGUCAGAGGUCAAAUUUGAACUCGGGUCUUUUAAGACUCCACGCUCCGGCACUCUAUCCACUGAACCCCCUAGCUACAUCCUAUUUAAGUGCUUAUUAUGCGUAGUUCGUGUAUAGAAGGAAAAAAUAAACACUUCUCCUUCAAGAAGCGUACA